rnacentral:rRNA from 1 species
AGAGUUUGAUCCUGGCUCAGGAUGAACGCUAGCGGCAGGCUUAACACAUGCAAGUCGAGGGGUAACAGUAAGAGCUUGCUCUUGCUGACGACCGGCGCACGGGUGCGUAACGCGUAUGAAACUUGCCAAGUACAGGAAGAUAGCCCGGGGAAACCCGGAUUAAUACUCCAUAACGUAUCACAUUCGCAUGUUUGUGAUAUUAAAGCUCCGGCGGUACUUGAUGGUCAUGCGUGACAUUAGAUAGUUGGUGAGGUAACGGCUCACCAAGUCCUCGAUGUCUAGGGGUUCUGAGAGGAUUGUCCCCCACACUGGUACUGAGACACGGACCAGACUCCUACGGGAGGCAGCAGUGAGGAAUAUUGGUCAAUGGGCGCAAGCCUGAACCAGCCAUGCCGCGUGUAGGAUGACUGCCCUAUGGGUUGUAAACUACUUUUGUAUAGGAUGAACAUUUCUACGAGUUAGAGACUUGACAGUACUAUACGAAUAAGGAUCGGCUAACUCCGUGCCAGCAGCCGCGGUAAUACGGAGGAUCCAAGCGUUAUCCGGAUUUAUUGGGUUUAAAGGGUGCGUAGGCUGUUAAAUAAGUCAGUGGUGAAAUCCUAUAGCUCAACUAUAGAACUGCCAUUGAAACUAUUUGACUAGAGUAUGCGUGGAGUUGGCGGAAUGCGACAAGUAGCGGUGAAAUGCAUAGAUAUGUCGCAGAACACCAAUUGCGAAGGCAGCUGACUAAAGCAUAACUGACGCUGAUGCACGAAAGCGUGGGUAUCGAACAGGAUUAGAUACCCUGGUAGUCCACGCUGUAAACGAUGAUAACUGGUUGUGCGCGAUACACAGUGCGCGACUGAGGGAAACCAUUAAGUUAUCCACCUGGGGAGUACGUUCGCAAGAAUGAAACUCAAAGGAAUUGACGGGGGCCCGCACAAGCGGAGGAACAUGUGGUUUAAUUCGAUGAUACGCGAGGAACCUUACCCGGGCUUAAAUGCAGGUUGCAUGAUUCAGAGAUGAAUCUUUCUUUCACGAGACUACCUACAAGGUGCUGCAUGGUUGUCGUCAGCUCGUGCCGUGAGGUGUCGGGUUAAGUCCCAUAACGAGCGCAACCCCUAUCCUUAGUUGCCAACAGGUCAAGCUGGGAACUCUAGGGAGACUGCCGCCGCAAGGCGCGAGGAAGGUGGGGAUGACGUCAAAUCAGCACGGCCCUUACGUCCGGGGCUACACACGUGUUACAAUGGCAGGUACAGAGGGCAGCUACAUGGCGACAUGAUGCUAAUCUCGAAAGCCAGUCUCAGUUCGGAUCGUAGUCUGCAACCCGACUACGUGAAGUUGGAUUCGCUAGUAAUCGCAUAUCGGCCAUGAUGCGGUGAAUACGUUCCCGGGCCAUGUACACACCGCCCGUCAAGCCAUGGAAGCCGGGGGUACCUGAAGUCUGUAACCGCAAGGAGCGGCCUAGGGUAAAACUGGUAACUGGGGCUAAGUCGUAACAAGGUA